AACCACGACGGAUCCAGCUCCGAUGCAGAGCCGUGUGCCUCCGGGAUUCAAAUUCUGUCCUACCGAGGAACAGCUCGUCGCUUACUACCUCCGCCACAAAUUGAUGGCCCUUGAUCCUUCCGUUUACACCACCUUACCUGACAUUGACGUCUGCAAGUUCGAGCCCUGGGAUUUAUUAUCUCUUGCUACUUCAGCGGCUUCGGCGACCAAUUUUGACGACUCGGAGUGCUUUUUCUUCAGUCCUCCUGAUUAUAAGUACGCUAAGAGUACUCGGUGGAACAGGACAACAUCGUGUGGCUCCUGGAAGUUCACUGGCCGGGAGCGGAAUAUCAGAGAGCAAGGCACCAACAAUGUCAUUGGGAUUAAAAGGAUUCUCGUUUUCUACGAAGGUCGUCCUCCUCGUGCACGUAAAACCAAUUGGGUUAUUCAUGAAUAUCAUGAUGCCACACUUCCUCUGGAACAGAGGAACUUUAUUCUAUGCAAGUUAAGGAAGAAAUAUGAGAAGAAAAUAAAAGAAAAAACUAUUGACUUUGAUCAAAGAUUACUUGAGCUUGAAAGGGAGCUCAAUAAUGACACAGACUUCGAAUAUGAAAAUCAAGCAAAUUUCAAUAUGAUUUCAAAGGAAUAUUGUUCAUUAAAUAUGAGCUCAACCACUCAAACCUCUCCCCAAGAAGUUAUAGACAACACAGGCACAAAUAUGAGCUCACCAACUCAAACCUCUCCCCAGGAGGUUAUAGACAACACAGGCACUCAAACUCAAUUCCUUUCAAAUGAAGACAUAGACUCAAUGAUUCAAGAACUUUCCCAGUCAAAUGAAGCUAUACCACAAAAACUAAAUUCAAGCAGUGAAACACCGCUUGAGUUUGAUUACGAAGAGUUGUACUCCAGCUUGGUCGUGUAGUUGGCUCCAACCAUGGAUGAGAAAUGGUUACGGGAAACGACGGCCGCAGCUUCUAUGCAUUGACAUGAAAGGGGGGGCAAAAAAAGCAUUUGCAUUAGUGUAUCUUUUUCCAAUUACUUUUCUAAAUUCCUGUGAUUUAGCACGAAGAAUUGUUGUGUAUCUUUUUAUUUUUGCCUCCAAUGUUAUGAGUCCUGGUGACUAGUGAUUUAACUUGUACUAAAUACUGUGUUUAAAUUAAUGCAAAUUUUUAUGGCCAUAGACGAUUGGUA